CCUACGGGAGGCAGCAGUGAGGAAUAUUGGUCAAUGGGCGGAAGCCUGAACCAGCCAAGUCGCGUGAGGGAAUAAGGCCCUACGGGUCGUAAACCUCUUUUGCCGGGGAGCAAGGGCGGGGACGUGUCCCGGCCCGGAGAGUACCCGGAGAAAAAGCAUCGGCUAACUCCGUGCCAGCAGCCGCGGUAAUACGGAGGGGGCGAGCGUUAUCCGGAUUUAUUGGGUUUCAAGGGUGCGUAGGCGGGCUUUGCAGUCCGCGGGACAAUGUCCGGGCCCGACCCGGGCCGGCCGGUGAAACUGGGGAGCGUGAGUGGGGGAGAGGUAUGCGGGAUGGGUGGGGUAGCGGGG
rnacentral:rRNA from 1 species